CUAAAUCCUCCUAUUCAGACUACAGUGGAAGCCAUCACCAUGACUCAGCAACAAUCAGCAAGAACAACAGUGACAGUGGAUGCCAGCGUGACAACAGUGGGGUUCACAACAUCUGAAGAUGUACACACAGCACCACCGGCAGGAAAGUGGCUG